GACGAACGCUGGCGGCGUGCCUAAUACAUGCAAGUCGAGCGAAUCUUUAGGAGCUUGCUCCAGAAGGUUAGCGGCGGACGGGUGAGUAACACGUGGGCAACCUGCCUGUAAGACUGGGAUAACUUCGGGAAACCGGAGCUAAUACCGGAUAAUCCUUUUUCUCACAUGAGGAAAAGCUGAAAGACGGUUUCGGCUGUCACUUACAGAUGGGCCCGCGGCGCAUUAGCUAGUUGGUGAGGUAAUGGCUCACCAAGGCGACGAUGCGUAGCCGACCUGAGAGGGUGAUCGGCCACACUGGGACUGAGACACGGCCCAGACUCCUACGGGAGGCAGCAGUAGGGAAUCUUCCGCAAUGGACGAAAGUCUGACGGAGCAACGCCGCGUGAGCGAUGAAGGCCUUCGGGUCGUAAAGCUCUGUUGUUAGGGAAGAACAAGUAUCGGAGUAACUGCCGGUACCUUGACGGUACCUAACCAGAAAGCCACGGCUAACUACGUGCCAGCCGCCGCAGUAAAAC
rnacentral:rRNA from 1 species